CGCGAACGAGUCGACUCGUUUUCCUUGCCAUGAAUCAAGAACUCAACGAUAUAUUCUGUAUUUAUCCUCUUGACCACCACCUCCGGUUCUCCAUUUCAACUCACUUCUUCGGUGUCAAAUUCUUUAGUUUCUGCUCUGCAUCAAUCACUUAUUGUUUAGAGAUUUACAUUUCAUGGUAUCGUCUUCGAAUUUGCGGCGAGACCUAAAUUGCAGUUGGUAUUUUGGACGGCAAAAUCACGAUCUGUAAAGUCAAGAUUCGUUCUUGCGGAGAUCCCUUGCUAUUUCUUUAUAGAUCUCGAGUUUGGAUGCUGGAAUCGAGAAAUUGAGUAGCUUCUGAAGAAAUCUUAAAUUUUCAUUUGAUGCAAUGUGUAAAGUAAUUUGGUUCUUCAGUUUUAGAUUGGAUCCUGGCCCAGGUUUUUCUUAAUAUGGACGGUAGACCAGGAUUUUGGAUACAAAUCUUGAUAAUCCAGUGCUAUUCAUGGAGUUUGUGUUUGUUUGAGGGGACUUGAUUUAUAAAAUACUAGGUAAGGAAAUUGCGUCUUCUUUUCUUCUCUCACUGGGAGAAGUGAGUUCGGCGGAGUUGGUUCCACGAAAGUAUGUUUUGGAGGGACCGUGAAAGGGAAAAUAAGGAGCCGAAUGGUGGUCCUCCUUGCGGGCAGGUUCGAGUGCUUGUCGUUGGAGACUCAGGUGUGGGGAAAACUUCACUAGUUCAUCUAAUCUUACAAGGUUCUUCCAUCAGACGCCCUCCUCAAACAAUUGGAUGUUCAGUUGGUGUGAAGCAUACCACUUACGGAAGUACCAGCAGCUCUUCUAAUAGCAUUCAAGGUGAUGCAGAGAGGGAUUUCUUUGUUGAACUGUGGGAUGUGUCAGGACAUGAGCGAUACAAAGACUGCCGCUCACUUUUCUAUUCACAAAUCAACGGUGUUAUUUUUGUUUAUGAUCUCUCUCAAAGAAGGACAAAAACAAGCUUGCAGAAGUGGGCAGCGGAGAUUGCAGCUACUGGAACAUUCUCAGCUCCUCUAGGAUCUGGUGGGCCUGGUGGACUUCCUAUCCCUUACAUUGUUGUUGGUAACAAAGCAGAUAUUGCUGCAAAGGAAAGAAAUAGAGUAAGCAGUGGCAAUCUUGUUGAUGCUGCUCGCCAAUGGGUUGAGAAGCAGGGCUUGCUUCCAUCGAGUGAAGAACUUCCUCUGACAGAGAGCUUUCCUGGCAGUGGGGGCCUUUUUGCUUUUCCUCUACUUUGGACUGAGAUCCUCAUUGGCAGGCAUAUGUUGAAUAGUGUGUUGAAAUUUGUAUGGAUCAUGUUUCAGGAAAGUGGUAGGGUGUCUAAUUUAGAAUUGAUUUGGGAAAGCAUAUGCGUACGUGGAGUGCAAUCUUUCGGCAAAGUGAUGAUGGUGACGUGGGGUUCAGUGUGAAACAGGGAAAAUGAGUUGAGAAUGCUUCCUAACUGCUGCUUUUCAAUCUUGAUCAAUGGAGCAGUAGGAAGGAAUUCAGAUAUACUAAUGGUAUUGGACAAGGAGAUUCUCUGUUUUUGCUUCUCUUUUUUUAUUUCUGGGUGAUGUUUGAAGUGGAAUUAUGGUAUAGUAAUAGUAGAUGGAGAUGAUCCAAGGGGUGGGGCUGUGGGGGUGGGUUAAAUUCUCCAUCAAUCUCUUACUUGCAGUAUGCAGAUGAAACUGGAUUUUUGUGUUCUGAUAUUGUUUAGUUGGCUUUGCUGGGGGCUUCUGCUCGUAGAAUUGAUAUUAUGAAAGUGUGAUUAUUGGAAUGGGGAAUAUUAAUGGAGAAGUUGUAAAGGAAGGAGUGGGGUAUAUGGGGUUUUUAGGGGAGAUUCGGUUUACAUACUUGGGCUCUAUCGGAGGGCAAAUCCAAGGGUCUCUUCCAUCUGGGGUCCAGCUAAUGAAAGAAUGGAAAAGAUCAGCUGGUUGGAAGGGGAGGUAUUUCUCAUUGGGUGGGACCAUGGAAGGGUGGAUCAGGGAUGCAGUUGAAGAAUAUAGUUCAUCUGGAAAAAGGUGUUCACAGUUCACCCAUGUAUAUGGGUGGGUUAUGGGAGGUGCAGGAUUAUAGUGUGGGUCUCAUGAGAUUGAGUUUGGAAGAACAAUUGGAUUUCACUUCCUGGAAGGCUUUUAGGAUGGCGAAUGGAGAUAGAAUCAGGUUUUCUGGAGAAAGGUGUUUAGUUGUAUGUCAUAGAUUCCCUAGGUUAAAUCAGUUAGUGUUGUGGAAAUGUUUCAAUUGACAGUUUUUUUUGGGUUUUUUUUUUUUCCUUUUAGGUGACAGCUGAUGGACAGAGGGAAUUCAUGGUGACGUGAUAUUGUAAUCUUCUGUCCAGUUGUAUGAUAGAUAACAUGGAUGGCUCUAAGAUUUGGUGUUCAGCAGCAACUGUGCAAAAUGAUGUCUUAAACUUGGACAGAUUACUUGAGAUGGAUCAAUUUAAGAAGAGAGGGUUCAAGCUGGCAAACAGAUGUGUUCUAUGCCUUAAAAAAGAUUUCCUAUUCAAAGGAUAUGAUUCCACAUAUUCUAUUACCUUAUAAGUUAGGACUAAGCUAUAAAUUCAUUUAACAUCCCAUGAAUUACUAUAAAUGACCUUAAGUAGCAUUCUCUAAUUAGAAAACAAAAUUGAAAGCUCUAUGCUUCAGCUGAGCUAGGACUGCUGCCUGAUUAAUUCUGAUGGAACUGUUAAAGCCUUUUCUUCUCAAGUGUAAAUGGAUAGACAGAACGGUGUUUCUAUAUAUGAGGAACUGGUUUUUCACUUAUGUCUUUGAAGUUAUAAGUUGAUAAUUCAUAACUGAUUCUUGAUUCUAUUGUUUCUGAUUUAGUUGGUAGUAUAUAUGACUGCUAAGUUCUGCUUAAUGC